GACGAACGCUGGCGGCGUGCUUAACACAUGCAAGUCGAACGGAAAGGCCCUGCUUUUGUGGGGUGCUCGAGUGGCGAACGGGUGAGUAACACGUGAGUAACCUGCCCUUGACUUUGGGAUAACUUCAGGAAACUGGGGCUAAUACCGGAUAGGAGCUCCUGCUGCAUGGUGGGGGUUGGAAAGUUUCGGCGGUUGGGGAUGGACUCGCGGCUUAUCAGCUUGUUGGUGGGGUAGUGGCUUACCAAGGCUUUGACGGGUAGCCGGCCUGAGAGGGUGACCGGCCACAUUGGGACUGAGAUACGGCCCAGACGCCUACGGGAGGCAGCAGUGGGGAAUAUUGCACAAUGGGCGGAAGCCUGAUGCAGCAACGCCGCGUGCGGGAGGACGGCCUUCGGGUUGUAAACCGCUUUCGCCUGUGACGAAGCGUGAGUGACGGUAAUGGGUAAAGAAGCACCGGCUAACUACGG
rnacentral:rRNA from 1 species